rnacentral:misc_RNA from 1 species
GAAAUGCGAUAAGUAAUGUGAAUUGCAGAAUUCAGUGAAUCAUCGAAUCUUUGAACGCACAUUGCGCCCGCCAGUAUUCUGGCGGGCAUGCCUGUUCGAGCGUCAUUUAAACCUUCAAGCUCAGCUUGGUGAUGGGUGACUGUCCUCCCCUCGCGGGGGGGACUCGCCUCAAAAACAUUGGCGGCCGGUACAUUGGCUUCGAGCGCAGCAGAAACGCGGUCUCGAGUCCGGUGGAUCGGCUCCCAUAAGCCUUCUUUUUUAUUUUGACCUCGGAUCAGGUAGGGAUACCCGCUGAACUUAAGC